rnacentral:rRNA from 1 species
GACGAACGCUGGCGGCGUGCUUAACACAUGCAAGUCGAACGGAAAGGCCCUGAUUUUGUGGGGUUCUCGAGUGGCGAACGGGUGAGUAACACGUGAGUAACCUGCCCUUGACUUUGGGAUAACUUCAGGAAACUGGGGCUCAUACCGGAUAGGAGCUCUUGCUGCAUGGUGGGGGUUGGUAAGUUUCGGCGGUUGGGGAUGGACUCGCGGCUUAUCAGCUUGUUGGUGGGGUAGUGGCUUACCAAGGCUUUGACGGGUAGCCGGCCGGAGAGGGUGACCGGCCACAUCGGGACUGAGAUACGGCCAAGUCUCAUACGGGAGGCAGCAGUGGGGAAUAUUGCGCAAUGGGCGGAAGCCUGAUGCAGCAACGCCGCGUGCGGGAAGACGGCCUUCGGGUUGUAAACCUCUUUCGCCUGAGACGAAGCGGGAGUGACGGUAAUGGGUAAAGAAGCACCGGCUAACUACGUG